AUCGCUUCUCGGCCUUUUGGCUCAGAUCAAGUGUAGUGUGCCUUAAAAGUUUAAACUGGCGUCCCCAUGGAGGGACUGACAUAUUAAAUGGAGGAUUUUUCAACAGGGGAGAGUCGGAAAUGGGGCUUUCCGUCCGCUCCACGCAUCGAACCCGGGAGCAGUACCUCCGGGAACGGUGCAACACUU